CAUGUAACUAAUUGAUGCAGAGGAAGCAGAAACAAUUAACAGAAAAUGGUAUGGAAAUAGUAACAGCCAGAGCUUAGGAAUUAUUCCCCCUUCCCCCUAAAAAAUCUGUUAACUGUUAUACAGCAAAACCAUGUAAGAUAGAUGAGUGCCUGUGUGAUGCAUUCAGGGGAUAAUUCCUUCUGGACCCACUAUUGGCCACAUUCUUGGAAAGCAGAAAUAGCCACAAGUCCUGUCAUGACAGUGGAUUCAUCUUUGCCAUUAUGCAGCAACAUACACACUCAGAGAAAGCCAGGGGAAAGACAGACUCCAGGGAAAUCCUUCCAUAUGUUGAGUAAAGAAGGCUUUCUGUCAUCUUGACUAGAUAAAUGAGGGGGAGAACGUAGCCACUAAUUCAAGAUUCUGAGGACUCUACAAGUCACCAAAAAGCCACCCAAUAAAGUGAAAAUGGAUAUCCAG